rnacentral:rRNA from 1 species
GGGUUGUGAGGUUAAGCGACUAAGCGUACACGGUGGAUGCCCUGGCAGUCAGAGGCGAUGAAGGACGUGCUAAUCUGCGAUAAGCGUCGGUAAGGUGAUAUGAACCGUUAUAACCGGCGAUUUCCGAAUGGGGAAACCCAGUGUGAUUCGUCACACUAUCAUUAACUGAAUCCAUAGGUUAAUGAGGCGAACCGGGGGAACUGAAACAUCUAAGUACCCCGAGGAAAAGAAAUCAACCGAGAUUCCCCCAGUAGCGGCGAGCGAACGGGGAGCAGCCCAGAGCCUGAAUCAGUGUGUGUGUUAGUGGAAGCGUCUGGAAAGGCGCGCGAUACAGGGUGACAGCCCCGUACACAAAAAUGCACAUGCUGUGAGCUCGAUGAGUAGGGCGGGACACGUGGUAUCCUGUCUGAAUAUGGGGGGACCAUCCUCCAAGGCUAAAUACUCCUGACUGACCGAUAGUGAACCAGUACCGUGAGGGAAAGGCGAAAAGAACCCCGGCGAGGGGAGUGAAAAAGAACCUGAAACCGUGUACGUACAAGCAGUGGGAGCACGCUUAGGCGUGUGACUGCGUACCUUUUGUAUAAUGGGUCAGCGACUUAUAUUCUGUAGCAAGGUUAACCGAAUAGGGGAGCCGAAGGGAAACCGAGUCUUAACUGGGCGUUAAGUUGCAGGGUAUAGACCCGAAACCCGGUGAUCUAGCCAUGGGCAGGUUGAAGGUUGGGUAACACUAACUGGAGGACCGAACCGACUAAUGUUGAAAAAUUAGCGGAUGACUUGUGGCUGGGGGUGAAAGGCCAAUCAAACCGGGAGAUAGCUGGUUCUCCCCGAAAGCUAUUUAGGUAGCGCCUCGUGAAUUCAUCUCCGGGGGUAGAGCACUGUUUCGGCAAGGGGGUCAUCCCGACUUACCAACCCGAUGCAAACUGCGAAUACCGGAGAAUGUUAUCACGGGAGACACACGGCGGGUGCUAACGUCCGUCGUGAAGAGGGAAACAACCCAGACCGCCAGCUAAGGUCCCAAAGUCAUGGUUAAGUGGGAAACGAUGUGGGAAGGCCCAGACAGCCAGGAUGUUGGCUUAGAAGCAGCCAUCAUUUAAAGAAAGCGUAAUAGCUCACUGGUCGAGUCGGCCUGCGCGGAAGAUGUAACGGGGCUAAACCAUGCACCGAAGCUGCGGCAGCGACGCUGAUGCGUUGUUGGGUAGGGGAGCGUUCUGUAAGCCUGCGAAGGUGUGCUGUGAGGCAUGCUGGAGGUAUCAGAAGUGCGAAUGCUGACAUAAGUAACGAUAAAGCGGGUGAAAAGCCCGCUCGCCGGAAGACCAAGGGUUCCUGUCCAACGUUAAUCGGGGCAGGGUGAGUCGACCCCUAAGGCGAGGCCGAAAGGCGUAGUCGAUGGGAAACAGGUUAAUAUUCCUGUACUUGGUGUUACUGCGAAGGGGGGACGGAGAAGGCUAUGUUGGCCGGGCGACGGUUGUCCCGGUUUAAGCGUGUAGGCUGGUUUUCCAGGCAAAUCCGGAAAAUCAAGGCUGAGGCGUGAUGACGAGGCACUACGGUGCUGAAGCAACAAAUGCCCUGCUUCCAGGAAAAGCCUCUAAGCAUCAGGUAACAUCAAAUCGUACCCCAAACCGACACAGGUGGUCAGGUAGAGAAUACCAAGGCGCUUGAGAGAACUCGGGUGAAGGAACUAGGCAAAAUGGUGCCGUAACUUCGGGAGAAGGCACGCUGAUAUGUAGGUGAAGCGACUUGCUCGUGGAGCUGAAAUCAGUCGAAGAUACCAGCUGGCUGCAACUGUUUAUUAAAAACACAGCACUGUGCAAACACGAAAGUGGACGUAUACGGUGUGACGCCUGCCCGGUGCCGGAAGGUUAAUUGAUGGGGUUAGCGCAAGCGAAGCUCUUGAUCGAAGCCCCGGUAAACGGCGGCCGUAACUAUAACGGUCCUAAGGUAGCGAAAUUCCUUGUCGGGUAAGUUCCGACCUGCACGAAUGGCGUAAUGAUGGCCAGGCUGUCUCCACCCGAGACUCAGUGAAAUUGAACUCGCUGUGAAGAUGCAGUGUACCCGCGGCAAGACGGAAAGACCCCGUGAACCUUUACUAUAGCUUGACACUGAACAUUGAGCCUUGAUGUGUAGGAUAGGUGGGAGGCUUUGAAGUGUGGACGCCAGUCUGCAUGGAGCCGACCUUGAAAUACCACCCUUUAAUGUUUGAUGUUCUAACGUUGACCCGUAAUCCGGGUUGCGGACAGUGUCUGGUGGGUAGUUUGACUGGGGCGGUCUCCUCCUAAAGAGUAACGGAGGAGCACGAAGGUUGGCUAAUCCUGGUCGGACAUCAGGAGGUUAGUGCAAUGGCAUAAGCCAGCUUGACUGCGAGCGUGACGGCGCGAGCAGGUGCGAAAGCAGGUCAUAGUGAUCCGGUGGUUCUGAAUGGAAGGGCCAUCGCUCAACGGAUAAAAGGUACUCCGGGGAUAACAGGCUGAUACCGCCCAAGAGUUCAUAUCGACGGCGGUGUUUGGCACCUCGAUGUCGGCUCAUCACAUCCUGGGGCUGAAGUAGGUCCCAAGGGUAUGGCUGUUCGCCAUUUAAAGUGGUACGCGAGCUGGGUUUAGAACGUCGUGAGACAGUUCGGUCCCUAUCUGCCGUGGGCGCUGGAGAACUGAGGGGGGCUGCUCCUAGUACGAGAGGACCGGAGUGGACGCAUCACUGGUGUUCGGGUUGUCAUGCCAAUGGCACUGCCCGGUAGCUAAAUGCGGAAGAGAUAAGUGCUGAAAGCAUCUAAGCACGAAACUUGCCCCGAGAUGAGUUCUCCCUGACUCCUUGAGAGUCCUGAAGGAACGUUGAAGACGACGACGUUGAUAGGCCGGGUGUGUAAGCGCAGCGAUGCGUUGAGCUAACCGGUACUAAUGAACCGUGAGGCUUAACCUUACAACGCCGAAG